GUGGGGAAUCUUAGACAAUGGGGGAAACCCUGAUCUAGCCAUGCCGCGUGAUCGAUGAAGGCCUUAGGGUUGUAAAGAUCUUUCAGGUGGGAAGAUAAUGACUGUACCACCAGAAGAAGCCCCGGCUAACUCCGUGCCAGCAGCCGCGGUAAUACGGAGGGGGCUAGCGUUGUUCGGAAUUACUGGGCGUAAAGCGCACGUAGGCGGAUUGGAAAGUUGGGGGUGAAAUCUCGGGGCUCAACCCCGGAACUGCCUUCAAAACUCCCAGUCUUGAGUUCGAGAGAGGUGAGUGGAAUUCCGAGUGUAGAGGUGAAAUUCGUAGAUAUUCGGAGGAACACCAGUGGCGAAGGCGGCUCACUGGCUCGAUACUGACGCUGAGGUGCGAAAGCGUGGGGAGCAAACAGGAUUAGAUACCCUUGUAGUCC
rnacentral:rRNA from 1 species